rnacentral:snRNA from 1 species
GACUUUGCGCAGCGGCGAUAUCGUAACCAGUGAGGUUUAUCCGAGGUGCGAUUAUUGCUAGUUGGAAACUGAAGAUUUGCUUGAGACAAAAUAAUAAUAAUAAUGAAAAAUAAUAAUAAU